UACGAGGGGGGCGAGCGUUGUUCGGAAUUAUUGGGCGUAAAGGGUGCGUAGGCGGUUUGGUAAGUCUUAUGUGAAAUCUACAGGCUCAACUUGUAGUCUGCAUGAGAAACUGCCGGGCUUGAGUAUGGGAGAGGUGAGUGGAAUUCCUGGUGUAGCGGUGAAAUGCGCAGAUAUCAGGAGGAACACCGAUGGCGAAGGCAGGUCUCUGGGCCACUACUGACGCUGAGAAGCGAAAGCAUGGGGAGCGAACAGG
rnacentral:rRNA from 1 species